GCAUCGAUAGCUCAGUGGCAGGGCGGUGGGGCGUUUACCCAUGCGGCCCGGGUUCGAUUCCCGGUCGAUGUA